rnacentral:rRNA from 1 species
AGACCCGAAACCCGGUGAUCUAGCCAUGGGCAGGUUGAAGGUUGGGUAACACUAACUGGAGGACCGAACCGACUAAUGUUGAAAAAUUAGCGGAUGACCUGUGGCUGGGGGUGAAAGGCCAAUCAAACCGGGAGAUAGCUGGUUCUCCCCGAAAGCUAUUUAGGUAGCGCCUCGUGAAUUCAUCUCCGGGGGUAGAGCACUGUUUCGGCUAGGGGGCCAUCCCGGCUUACCAACCCGAUGCAAACUGCGAAUACCGGAGAAUGUUAUCACGGGAGACACACGGCGGGUGCUAACGUCCGUCGUGAAGAGGGAAACAACCCAGACCGCCAGCUAAGGUCCCAAAGUCAUGGUUAAGUGGGAAACGAUGUGGGAAGGCCCAGACAGCCAGGAUGUUGGCUUAGAAGCAGCCAUCAUUUAAAGAAAGCGUAAUAGCUCACUGGUCGAGUCGGCCUGCGCGGAAGAUGUAACGGGGCUAAACCAUGCACCGAAGCUGCGGCAGCGAACGUAUCACCCAAGACAACUUUACGGAGUUGACGAUUGACGGAGCGAAGCGACGUCAAAGCGUUCAUUAAAGUCGAGUUGGCUUAGGGAUACGUUCGUUGGGUAGGGGAGCGUUCUGUAAGCCUGUGAAGGUGUGUCGUGAGGCAUGCUGGAGGUAUCAGAAGUGCGAAUGCUGACAUAAGUAACGAUAAAGCGGGUGAAAAGCCCGCUCGCCGGAAGACCAAGGGUUCCUGUCCAACGUUAAUCGGGGCAGGGUGAGUCGACCCCUAAGGCGAGGCCGAAAGGCGUAGUCGAUGGGAAACGGGUUAAUAUUCCCGUACUUGGUGUUACUGCGAAGGGGGGACGGAGAAGGCUAUGUUGGCCGGGCGACGGUUGUCCCGGUUUAAGCGUGUAGGUGUGUGUUCCAGGUAAAUCCGGUUCACUUUAACACUGAGGCGUGACGACGAGGCACUACGGUGCUGAAGCAACAAAUGCCCUGCUUCCAGGAAAAGCCUCUAAGCAUCAGGUAACACGAAAUCGUACCCCAAACCGACACAGGUGGUCAGGUAGAGAAUACCAAGGCGCUUGAGAGAACUCGGGUGAAGGAACUAGGCAAAAUGGUGCCGUAACUUCGGGAGAAGGCACGCUGACACGUAGGUGAAGUGAUUUACUCAUGGAGCUGAAGUCAGUCGAAGAUACCAGCUGGCUGCAACUGUUUAUUAAAAACACAGCACUGUGCAAACACGAAAGUGGACGUAUACGGUGUGACGCCUGCCCGGUGCCGGAAGGUUAAUUGAUGGGGUCAGCGUA